rnacentral:lncRNA from 1 species
AUGGCCACCUCAAAAAGAAAGCAUGCUGCACCUUUCAUUUUCUGGUGCAAAGCAGAAGAAAUGCGGAAGGAAGAGAAGGAGAAAGAAUCAAGUAAGUCCUGCUCCUUACUGAAACUGCCAGGUGCCCUGCUGGAAUCCUCCUUGGGAGAGCAGCCCCAAGUUCGCUGAGGAGGUGGCAGUGGAAGAGGAGCUGGAAAACAGCCUCGGGUGCUUGGGUUCCGAAGCCCAGACAGAGUCUAAUCCAGAAGGAACCACUGGCCUCUGGAAUCGCAACUUAACCCCUUCAUAGCUUAAAGACAGACAAGAUCAGAAAGGCAGGCCUCUGGAAAGAAAUGAAGAUCACCUGAAAGUGUAAAUAAGUGAAUAAACAUGAAAGACAAUUUUUAUCA